rnacentral:rRNA from 1 species
CAGCCGCCGCGGUAAUACGAAGGGGGCUAGCGUUGCUCGGAAUGACUGGGCGUAAAGGGCGCGUAGGCGGCGGCCAAAGUCAGGCGUGAAAUUCCCGGGCUCAACCUGGGGGCUGCGUUUGAUACUUGGUUGCUUGAGUGGGGAAGAGGGUCGUGGAAUUCCCAGCGUAGAGGUGAAAUUCGUAGAUAUUGGGAAGAACACCGGUGGCGAAGGCGGCGACCUGGUCCUUUACUGACGCUGAGGCGCGAAAGCGUGGGGAGCAAACAGGAUUAGAUACCCCAGUAGUCCCUGUCUCUUAUAC